GAUGAACGCUGGCGGCGUGCCUAAUACAUGCAAGUCGAACGAAACUUCUUUAUCACCGAGUGCUUGCACUCACCGAUAAAGAGUUGAGUGGCGAACGGGUGAGUAACACGUGGGCAACCUGCCCAAAAGAGGGGGAUAACACUUGGAAACAGGUGCUAAUACCGCAUAACCAUAGUUACCGCAUGGUAACUAUGUAAAAGGUGGCUAUACUACCGCUUUUGGAUGGGCCCGCGGCGCAUUAGCUAGUUGGUAGGGUAAAGGCUUACCAAGGCAAUGAUGCGUAGCCGAAGUGAGAGGUGGGUCGGCCACAUUGGGACUGAGACACGGCCCAAACUCCUACGGGAGGCAGCAGUAGGGAAUCUUCCACAAUGGGCGAAAGCCUGAUGGAGCAACGCCGCGUGGGUGAAGAAGGUCUUCGGAUCGUAAAACCCUGUUGUUAGAGAAGAAAGUGCGUGAGAGUAACUGUUCACGUUUCGACGGUAUCUAACCAGAAAGCCACGGCUAACUACGUG
rnacentral:rRNA from 1 species